UUGUGGAGCGGCUCUGGCGGGCCGGGCUCCCUCAGCUCCCCGCCAUGCGGGCAAGGAGCGGCUCUGGCGCGCCGGGCUCCCUCAGCUCCCCGCCAUGGGGGCAAGGAGCGGCUCUGGCGGGCCGGGCUCCCUCAGCUCCCCGCCAUGCGGGCAAGGAGCGGCUCUGGCGGGCCGGGCUCCCUCGCCAUGAGGGGCCGCCGCCGCCAUGAGGCCUUCAGCCGAUGGGGGGACCGCGGUGACCCGCAGCUGUCGGUGGCCGGGAGCAGCCCUGAGGUGGCCCGACCUUGUCGUGUGUGAAACCCCCAAGCUGUGCUGUGCUGGGACAGCCAAGGAGGCUCUCCAGGAGGGCACUUGAGCCUGUGGAGAGGAGAUGUGAAGGAAUAACCUGCCCGUGAGAGACAGGGAGCGCUCUGGAGCCACGUGGGUGAGGUAAAUUGUUGGUGUGAGGCUUGCUGGAGCAGCAGGAGUGGUCAGAAGUAAAGCUAUCAAUGCUGCUUUGAAGAUCCUUGUUUGAAAGGUAUUGAGAAGAUGGAAACCUGGAGCCCACAGUUUAAAGGGGGCAGCUGGAAAAGAAUUUGUUUUCAGGAUGUGGAUGUAGGAAUUGGAAACAUCAAAGGUGAUUUGGGGCAAAGUAUAACAAGAAUUAUUUGUAGAGUUUAUUGUUAAUCUCCUCUCAUUGCUUAUUGGUAAUACAUUUUUAUAUGACCUCAAUUAAACGUAUUUAUAUUUAAA